AUGAAGGUCAGUGAAGUUACUCUCUGAUCUUAAAGAUGAUCCACUUUAUAAACUGGAGAGAUUAGACUACUGACUCUCGUAUUUAGACUUCAGUCCAGUUUCUUCAGGAUCAGCUGAUGGUGAAUAAGAGCCGCUACAGAGACGUCACAGUCACACAAUCAACAGAGACUGAAGACACAGAGACACACAGAUCACACAGAGUGAAGACACAGAGACACACGGAUCACAGAGACUGAAGAUACA